CAGUCGCCGCGGGAAUACGUAGGUGGCGAGCGUUGUCCGGAAUCAUUGGGCGUAAAGGGAGCGCAGGCGGGCAUGUAAGUCUUUCUUAAAAGUUCGGGGCUCAACCCCGUGAUGGGAAAGAAACUACAUGUCUUGAGUACAGGAGAGGAAAGCGGAAUUCCCAGUGUAGCGGUGAAAUGCGUAGAUAUUGGGAGGGACACCAGUGGCGAAGGCGGCUUUCUGGACUGCAACUGACGCUGAGGCUCGAAAGCCAGGGGAGCGAACGGGAUUAGAUACCCGCGUAGUCCCUGUCUCUUAUACC
rnacentral:rRNA from 1 species